AACUUCGAUUCUCACAGAUCAAAGUUAAAAUCCACGGACAUGGAAGCUCCGAAUGCAUCCGCGGGACUGUCCACUUUCUCAUCAUAACCAGCAACCUCGGUCGUGACCUCCUCCAUAUCGGUAGAAACCGGGAUGGGAUCCCACAAUCCCUAAAUCCUCCCGUCAAUCGGGGAAAUAAGCGCCUCAGCAUGGGCACAAUCAUUCAUGCCACCUUCCAUGGUUUCCAUCUCA
rnacentral:lncRNA from 1 species